CCCUUAGAUGUUCUGGGCCGCACGCGCGCUACACUGACGAAGUCAGCGAGCAUGUCCUACGCCGACAGGUGCGGGGAAUCUUGUCAAACUUCGUCGUGAUGGGGAUUGAUUAUUGAAAUUCUUGAUCAUCAACGAGGAAUUCCUAGUAAGCGCAAGUCAGCAGCUUGCGUUGAUUACGUCCCUGCCCUUUGUACACACCGCCCGUCGCUACUACCGAUUGAAUGGUCCGGUGAAAUCUUCGGAUUGAGACUUUGAUUUGUUUACUCAAAACGCUGUUUCAAGAAGUUGAUUAAACCUUACCAUUUAGAGGAAGGUGAAGUCGUAACA
rnacentral:rRNA from 1 species